UACGGGGGGGGCAAGCGUUGUUCGGAAUCACUGGGCGUAAAGGGUGCGUAGGCGGGUCUUUAAGUCAGGGGUGAAAUCCUGGAGCUCAACUCCAGAACUGCCUUUGAUACUGAGGAUCUUGAGUUCGGGAGAGGUGAGUGGAACUGCGAGUGUAGAGGUGAAAUUCGUAGAUAUUCGCAAGAACACCAGUGGCGAAGGCGGCUCACUGGCCCGAUACUGACGCUGAGGCACGAAAGCGUGGGGAGCAAACAGG
rnacentral:rRNA from 1 species